UACAGAGGUCCCGAGCGUUGUUCGGAUUUAUUGGGCGUAAAGGGUGCGUAGGCGGCUUGUCGCGUCGACUGUGAAAAUCUCAGGGCUCAACUCUGACAUUGCAGUCGAUACGGGCAGGCUAGAGUUCGGUAGGGGGAGACUGGAAUUCCUGGUGUAGCGGUGAAAUGCGUAGAUAUCUGGAGGAAUACCGGUGGCGAAAGGCGGCAUCCUGGACCGGCAUU
rnacentral:rRNA from 1 species